GGGCAUUUGGUCUAGUGGUAUGAUUCUCGCUUUGGGUGCGAGAGGUCGCGAGUCCGAUUCUCGCAAUGCCCC
rnacentral:tRNA from 1 species